GAUGAAUGCUGGCGGCGUGCCUAACACAUGCAAGUCGAGCGGCAGCGAGGGGUGCUUGCACCCUGUCGGCGAGCGGCGAACGGCUGAGUAACGCGUAGGAAUUUGCCCCAAAGUGAGGAAUAACUGCCCGAAAGGGUAGCUCAUGCCGCAUAUGGUCUUCGGAUUAAAGGAUUUAUCCGCUUUGGGAGAAGCCUGCGUUGGAUUAGGUUGUUGGUAGGGUAAUGGCCUACCAAGCCGACGAUCCAUAGCUGGUCUGAGAGGAUGAUCAGCCAGACUGGAACUGAGACACGGACCAGACUCCUACGGGAGGCAGCAGUGAGGAAUCUGCCACAAUGGGCGAAAGCCUGAUGGAGCAACGCCGCGUGAAGGAUGAAGGCCUUCGGGUUGUAAACUUCUUUUAUGAGUGAAGAAUAUGACGGUAACUCAUGAAUAAGCACCGGCUAACUACGUG
rnacentral:rRNA from 1 species